GUUCUAGGUGUAAUGGUUAGCACGUCGGAUUUUGAUUCCGGAGAUAUUGGUUCGAUUCCUAUAUGAACC
rnacentral:tRNA from 1 species